UACGUAGGGACCAAGCGUUGUUCGGAUUUACUGGGCGUAAAGGGCGCGUAGGCGGCGCGGUAAGUCACUUGUGAAAUCUCUGAGCUUAACUCAGAACGGCCAAGUGAUACUGCAGUGCUAGAGUGCAGAAAGGGCAAUCGGAAUUCUUGGUGUAGCGGUGAAAUGCGUAGAUAUCAAGAGGAACACCUGAGGCGAAGGCGGGGUUGCUAGGCUGACACUGACGCUGAGUGCGCGAAAGCCAGGGGAGCAAACGGG
rnacentral:rRNA from 1 species